rnacentral:lncRNA from 1 species
GCAGGCAGAAGAGGUGCAGUAGAAGGAGAAGUGAAGGAGAUUCCAAGUGUAAUAAUGACUCAAAGCACACUAGCUUAUCUGGAGAUGGAGGAAUUCAGGCCACCUUAUAUCUCUGAGAGAGGCUCUUGGUUCACAGCCUACAAGGAAGCAAAGACUUCACCUCUGAAGCCCAAAUACCUGGAUUCUGACAGCCAACCUGAAUGCGCUUGGAAGAAGAUUCUCCCUCAGAACCUCUGAAUACUAGUCCAGCUUGCCAACAACUUGAUUUCAGCCUAUAAAACCCAGGCCAGAGAAAAC